rnacentral:misc_RNA from 1 species
GAUGAAGAACGUAGCGAAAUGCGAUAAGUAAUGUGAAUUGCAGAAUUCAGUGAAUCAUCGAAUCUUUGAACGCACAUUGCGCCCAUUAGCAUUCUAGUGGGCAUGCCUGUUCGAGCGUCAUUUCAACCCUCAAGCUCUGCUUGGUCUUGGGCCUGGCCGUGAUGGCCGGUCUUAAAAUCAGUGGCGGUGCCGUCGCAGGCUCCAAGCGUAGUACAUCUCUCGCUCUGGAAACUUGGCGGUGCCUGCCAGACAACCCCUAAUUGUCUCUUUCGGUUGACCUCGGAUCAGGUAGGGAUACCCGCUGAACUUAAGCAUAUCAAUAAGCGGAGGA